GUUGGCAUAGUGGUUAGAGCGUCCGACUCGGAUGCAGGAGGUCGUGGGUUCGAUUCCCGGUCGAGUCA